rnacentral:rRNA from 14 species
GGGAUGAACCUAAUGCGGGGUUAAGGUGCUUAAUUACUUGCUCAUUUGAUACCAGAAAGGGUGUUGGUUCAUUUUAACAGCAGGACGGUGGUCAUGGAAGUCGAAAUCCGCUAAGGAGUGUGUAACAACUCACCUGCCGAAUGAACUAGCCCUGAAAAUGGAUGGCGCUGAAGCGGGCGACUUAUACACUGCCAUCAGGCUAGACGGUAGAGCCUGAUGAGUAGGAGGGCGUGGGGCUUGUGACGCAGCCUUGGGCGUGAGCCCGGGUGAAACAGGCUCUAGUGCAGAUCUUGGUGAUAGUAGCAAAUAUUCAAAUGAGAACUUUGAAGAC